GACUCUGUAGUGAAGUUCAUAAUGGGUUGCAAGCUCAUUGAUGCGCAUUAGUAGUGUGCCGGAGUCU
rnacentral:tRNA from 1 species